GUCCACGCCCUAAACGAUGUCAACUGGUUGUUGGUGGGGUUAAACCCAUUAGUAACGAAGCUAACGCGUGAAGUUGACCGCCUGGGGAGUACGGCCGCAAGGUUAAAACUCAAAGGAAUUGACGGGUACCCGCACAAGCGGUGGAUGAUGUGGAUUAAUUCGAUGCAACGCGAAGAACCUUACCUACCCUUGACAUGCCAGGGAGCCGGACGAGAGUUCGGUGUGCCCGAAAGGGAGCCUGGACACAGGUGCUGCAUGGCUGUCGU
rnacentral:rRNA from 1 species